GAGAUAAACACAAAUUGGUCAUGGGAGGACUUUUAUCAAAUUAAAAUCAUUCAUUCAUUUUGGGAGAUGAAAUGUACAUUUUAUCAAUCCCCUAAAUCCAAUGAUUUUAAUCCAACAAAAGUCAAAUCAACCAUAAAAUCAUUCAUUCAUUUUGGGAGAUGAAAUGUACAUUUUAUCAAUCCCCUAAAUCCAAUGAUUUUAAUCCAACAAAAGUCAAAUCAACCUUGACCAAGGCCCAAACA
rnacentral:lncRNA from 1 species